rnacentral:rRNA from 1 species
GACGAACGCUGGCGGCGCGCCUAACACAUGCAAGUCGAACGAAGUUUUUUUACGGAAGUUUUCGGAUGGAAGUAGAUUAACUUAGUGGCGAACGGGUGAGUAACGCGUGAGUAAUCUGCCUUGAAGAGGGGGACAACAGUUGGAAACGACUGCUAAUACCGCAUAAGACCACAGUAGGACAUCCUACAGUGGCCAAAGGAGCAAUCCGCUUUGAGAUGAGCUCGCGUCUGAUUAGAUAGUUGGUGGGGUAAUGGCUCACCAAGUCUACGAUCAGUAGCCGGACUGAGAGGUUGAACGGCCACAUUGGGACUGAGACACGGCCCAGACUCCUACGGGAGGCAGCAGUGGGGAAUAUUGCACAAUGGAGGAAACUCUGAUGCAGCGACGCCGCGUGAGGGGAGAAGGUAUUCGUAUUGUAAACCUCUGUCUUCGGGGACGAUAAUGACGGUACCCGAGGAGGAAGCACCGGCUAACUACGUGCCAGCAGCCGCGGUAAUAC